AGGCGUUCCUCUGCUUGUGGCCUUCAGCUCUAAUGAAACGUCGGUCUGGUGCAUCACCAGUUUCCACCACGGACCUUAAACCAGGUUCUGGACUCUGUGUUCUGGAGUAAAGUCCUGCUGAAAAAUUAAAUCUGCAUCUCUAUAAAGUUGGUCAGCAGCAGGAAGUGCUGGUAGGUGCAUUGACCUUUGACCUCACAAAUCACAGUGGACCAACAGCAGCAGACGACAUGGCACCAAACUAUGGUUGACUGUGGAAACUUUGACUAGACCUCAAGCAACAUGGAUUCUGCUGCUCUGCUCUUCCUCCAGACUCUGAGAGGAAAUAAAAAUUCACUUCAACCAGAGAACAGAGCAGUUUGUGUUCAGUCCAGGGUUUCCUUCCCUUCACCUCAGUGUCUGAACUCUGAACUCUGAACUCUGAACUCUGAACGGCUUCUUAAGCAAAGGUCGUCUUCUGGACGGCCGUCAGGUCAGCGGUCAUGUGACCUGCAGAUCUGAACUGAGAGACAAUUUAAAGCAUCUGCAGGUUUUAAUAGAAACAUCCACACUAAUCAGGUGAUUAUCUGAUUAGUGUGGAGCACCAGAGAUUUUCAAUAUUGAAUCUUUCCACAAUAUUCUAAUUUUGUGAGACACUGAAUUUGUAGUUUUCAUUAGUUAUGAGUUAUAAUCAUCAACACUAAAAGAAAAAAA